UAACUGUAUACGGGAUGGAUCCCCAGGUGGAGUAGUCUCUGGAUGGCCUUUCCUUCAGUCUCUGCCCCACACUUGUCUCUGAAUUUCCUACCGUACUAAUCAGUGAGAAUUGGCCCACAGAAGCCUUACAUUUUCAAAUUUCCAUUUUUUUUCACGGCUUUUCCCUGCCUCUACUGUUCACGAUAUCUUCCAAAGACAACAAAACAUGUCUUAUGUCUAUGUCUCUGUUUUAGUCCUUUUGUAUGGUUUUAAUAGAGUAUCAUGGACUUGAAGUUGUCUAAUAAAUGUUCUGUUUUCUGUCA